rnacentral:rRNA from 1 species
GAGCCCGCACAAGCAGUGGAGUAUGUGGUUUAAUUCGACGCAACGCGAAGAACCUUACCAGGUCAUGACAUCCAUCGAAUCCGGCGUAAUGGCCGGAGUGCCCUUCGGGGAGCGAUGAGACAGGUGGUGCAUGGUUGUCGUCAGCUCGUGUCGUGAGAUGUUGGGUUAAGUCCCGCAACGAGCGCAACCCUUACGGUCGGUUGGUACAUUAAGUUGACAACUCCGGCCGGACUGCCGUUGACAAAACGGAGGAAGGUGGGGAUGACGUCAAAUCAUCAUGCCCCUUAAGAUCUGGGCUACACACGUACUACAAUGGCGCAGAGACAAAGGGAAGCGAAGCCGCGAGGCGGAGCAAAUCCCAUAAAAGGCGUCCCAGUUCGGACUGCAGGCUGCAACCCGCCUGCACGAAGUUGGAAUUGCUAGUAAUCGCGGAUCAUCAUGCCGCGGUGAAUACGUUCCCGGGCUUU